AUUUUUUGUAUUUUUAGUAGAGACGGGGUUUCACCGUGUUAGCCAGGGUGGUCUCGAUCUCCUGACCUCUUGAUCCGCCCGCCUUGGCCUCCCAAAGUGAGUUUUUGUAUUUUUAAUGGAGAUGAGGUUUCACCAUGUUGGUCAGGCUGGUCUUGCACUCCUGACCUCAGGUGAUCUGCCUGCCUCUGCCUCCCAAAAUGCUGGCAUUACAGGCAUGACCCACGAUGCUUGGCCUCAAUUGUCUUCAAAAUCAACAAUCCUAUAUUGAAAAGUGAGGCCAGGCACAGUGGCUCAUGCCUGUAAACCCAGAACUUUGGGAGGCCAAGGUGGGUAGAUCGCUUGAGGUCAGGAGUUCAAGACCAACCUGGCCAACAUGGUGAAACCCCAUUUCUACUAAAAAUACAAAAUUAGCUGGAUGUGGUGGUAUGCACCUGUAAUCCCUGUUACUCUGGAGGCCGAGGCAGGAGAAUCACCUGAAUCCAGGAGUAGGAGGUUGCCAUGAGCUGAGACUGGGCCACUGCACUCCAGCCUGGACAACAAGGUGAGACCCCGUCUCAAGGCAAACAAACAAAUAAAUAAAUAAAUAAAGACAAUUGAACCUGAUUUUUCCCUUAGAUUCUCCAGAGAAAGAACUUCUAUAUGGAAAGAGGCAGAUUGCUGGAAGGAGUAAAUAAUUCACAGACAACUCAUAAGCCCUGAGCUCUGGUCUGUCUCUGCCAAUUAAAUGCUGUGGAACUUUUGGGUAAGUCAUUUAAAAUAUCUGGGUUUCAGAUGAUUCAGUUACAUAUGAGUGGGUCCAACCCUCGAAUCUUCUCACUUGUCUUAGUGAUGAUGAGCUAAUGAUGUCUGGUGGAGCCUCAUCUGUUGAGAUUUUGGAGGUGUGGGUUAAAGUUGUGUCCCUCAAAGCAUUUCUUCCUCUCAGGCAUACCAGAGGUGAGAUUCACAGACCACAAAGAUAGUAUGAAUUUAAACUGCAAAUGCAGGAGAAAAUGAUUCAUAGUUAGAAUUCUCAGAGUAAUAUUGGUUUUAAAGACAAUGUAACCUAGAGGACAAGAUGAGACCAGAAAGCUCUCUUGUCACACCUCUUUGCCAGUGGGUGGAUGUUAUUCCUAAUCUACCCUUUUACUGAAGUAUAAGCCUUUGAGGGUGCUGAUACUAGAUAACUUACACUCUAGCUUCCUACUAUAGAUUCAAGGCUUUAUCUCCUGUCCUCACAUGGCUGUUAAAAUAGUAGCCCCUCAGUUAUCAAGUCCAGCAACAUUUAUCAGGGCAGUCUGAGCUGCAUUUCUGUUUCAUUUCUGGCUUUGCCCCGAGGGAUUUCUCUUACUUUCUUGCAUGUUCAGUUAUAUAUUUAAAAGCAUGUUUAUUAUAUUUUGUCCAUCAUUUCCAGGUGUUUUUUGAUAGGAGGGUUCUCAGUUAAUUUACUAUAUUGCCAUAAAUGGAAGUCAGCCCUCUAAAUUCUAUGAUUCUGUGACUAUUAACCUCUUUUCUCCCAUUGAGCUAAUUUGGAUAUUUAUCUUAUUUCAUCUUGAUUCAUUGGGUGUUCUGACUCCAUGGUGUGUUGGAAAUAUCCUCAGUUCUCUUGGAGGAAUAUUAAUAAGAAAUUGCAUAAGUGAACCAAAAAAACCUAAAAGCUAAUGGCUGUAACUUUGAUAUUUACAUGUUGGGGCUGACCCUAGCAUGGAGAUAUUCAAUUGUCCUCCCUCUAAUAUUUCAGCCUAUGCCAUGAUACAGACCAUUAAGGUCACUUGUGUUGCUUUACUCGGCAAGUAUAACUUGUGAUAUACUUGUAAUAUUGUGAAAGAUUAAACUUAAAUGGCAAUAUUAAAUGUCAGCAAAAGUUAAAUCAGUGGUGUACUAAAGAGACUCCAGUUCUAUCUAAUGCCUAACAUAGGGAAGGUCUGACUGCCCUUUGGACUGGAUAUGAUCUUGGGUUUCUUAGACAUUGGAGGCUGAGGUACCUUAUCUACUGCCUCACAGUUCUGGAGGCUCUACAGCUGCUAUUAACAUGUCAGUAGGGUUGGUUUCUUCUGAGACCUCUCUCCUGGGCUUGCAGGUGGCCAUCUUCUCCCUGUGUCCCAACGUGGUCUUCCCUCUUUGUGUGUCUGUGCCCUAAUCUUUUUUUCUUAUAAGGAUACCAUUCAGAUUGGAUUAGGAUCCACUCGUAUAACCUCAUUUUACCUUAGUUAUCUAAAGACCCUAUUUCCAAAUACAGUCAUGUUUUGAGGUACUGGGUGGUAGGACUUCAAUAUUUGAAUUUGAGGGGACAAAAUUCACCCUUCAGGAAUGUAAAAGGUGGUCUGCUAAUAGGCCUAUGGAUUAUCAAGUCAUUUUUUUUUUAAAGAUAAGUGAUUGUAUUUCUUUCUAGAGCUAUUACAGUGGUUCAUACUGGCUUAACUUUAUUAUUCUCUUCCAUCAAUUUUCUAAUUUAAUAAAAGUUAAAACCUUCUAUUAUGAAAAAUUUCAAACUCUCACAAAAAUAGAGUAAAUAGUAUAAUGAAUUCAGUGUCCUCACUGCCUAGUAUUAUGGGUUGAAUUGUGUUUCCCAAAAAUUCAUAUGAUGAAGUCCUAACCCCCAGCACCUCAGAAUGUGACUGUAUUUGGAGAUAGGGUCUUCAGAUAAUUAAGGUAAAAUGAGGUCCAUGAGUGGACCUAAUCCAACCUGACUGGUAUUCUUACAAGAAGAGGAGAUUAGGACACAGACACACACAGAGAGAAGAUCAUGUGGGGACAUAAGAAGAUGGCCAUCUACAAGCCGAGGAGAGGGGCCUCAGAAGAAACCAAUGCUGCUAACAUCUUGCUAUCAGUUACCUAGCCCCCAGAACUGUGAGACAGUACAUUCUGUUUUUUAAACCACAGAAGACACGUAUUGCAUGACUAUUUUUUUUAAGUCCAGAAUAGGCAAAUCUGUAGAGAUAGAACAUAGAUAAGUGAUUGCAUAGGGCUUAUAAGUUGGAGGUAAUUGGAAAGUGACUGCCAGUGGGUAUCAGGUUUCAUUUUGGGGUAAUGAAAAUGUUUGAAAAUUGACUGUUGUGAUGGUUGCCCAACUCUAUAAAUAUACUACAAAACAUUGCACUAUACAAAUUAAAUGUGUGCAUUGUAUGAUGUGAAUUAAAUUCCAGUAAGCCUGUUUUUAAAGACUCAAAGAAAAUUAAAGAAUGACUGAAAACUUUCCAAGUUUGAUGAAAAUUAUAAUGCUACAAAUCCAAGAAUCUCAAAAAACCUUAAGCACAAGAAAGGUUAAGAACAUGACCCCACGCCGGGUGCGGUGGCUCAUGCCUGUAAUCCCAGCACUUUGGGAGGCUGAGGCGGGUGAGCCACUUGAGGUCAGAAGUUCGAGACCAGCCUGACCAACAUGGAGAAACCCUGUCUCUACUAAAAAUACAAAAUUAGCCAGGUGUGGUGGCACAUGCCUGUAAUCCCAGCUACUUGGGAGGCUGCCGCAGGAGAAUUGCUUGAACCGGGAGGCAGAGGUUGUGGUGAGCCAAGACUGUGCUAUUGCACUCCAGCCUGGGUGACAGAGCAAGACUCCAACAAAACAAAAACAAAAACAAAAACAAAAAAAGAAACAAAAACAAAAACACAUGACCCCAAAGCGCAACAUCAUCAAAUUGCUUAAAAUUAGUGAUUUGGGUCCUCUGGAAUUAAAAGAAAAGAGAGAGAGAAACUAGUGAUAAGAAGAAAGCAGUCAGAGGGAGUUGGGGAAUGACGUUGUUUACGGAAGGAUGACAACAGAUUUCUUCUCAGAAAAAAUGUAAACCAGAAGACAGUGGUACUACAUUUUUGAAGUUUAAGUGCUGCUUGACUUAUGAUGGGGUUAUGUUCCAAAAAACUCAUCAUAAAUUGAAAAUAUCAUGUCUAAAAUACACUUUCAACUUACAUUUUUGAUUUAUGAUGUGUUUAUCUAGACAUAAUUCCAUCAUUAGUCAAGGAAUGUACUGAAUGUGUUUCACUUUUACACCAUCAUAAAAUUAAAAAGUCGUAAGUCAGGGAAAAUCUGUACUGCAAGAAAAACACUGUUAACCUAGAUAUCUUUGCCUAGUGAAAAUAUCUUUCAGAAAUGAAGAUGAGAUAAAGGCUUUUCAUACCAACAAAAGUGGAAAGAAUUCAUCAUAAGAAGACUUGAGUGAGAAGAAAUGCUAAGAAAGCUCUUCAAGUAGAAGAAAAUGAUACCAGAUGGAAAUCUGGAUCUCCACAAAGGAACAAAAAGUAUUGAGAAUGGGAACUAUCCUAUGUGGUGCUGGGGAUGCCAGAGUUGGAAUUCAAGACCCAGGGAGAAGGGCUUCAGUCAGCACUCCAGUACCUCAGCUGGGAAUCCUGGAGGCUAUACCCUAUGUAUGGGGAAAAUGAGAGGUAGAUGGAAACUAAAAAACAAACAAACAAACCAGUCCCUGAUUAGUUGUGACUUUAUCUGCCUACCAGAAAAUAGGACUAGCCCUCUCUGGAAGAUGAUAGCAUUAUCCAGAACCUCAUACACAAAAUUUACCCAGGACACUCAUGAAGAGGAGGAAGAAAAGACAACAUAAACAGACAUACAGGUCACCUACUUAUUGGAGUUAACAGAUGGAUGUUCAAAUCUGUAUUAUUCUUAUAUUCAAGAGAAUGAAUGACAAAGAGUAGAAUUCCACUGGAGAACUAGUUAACCAAGGCUAGAUGGCUUCAUUGAAAGACUUUGUCAAGCAUGAAUAAAGCCACUAUAAAUAUUCUUGCACAAGUCUCUUUGUGAAUACAUUUUUAUUCCUUUAGGUAAACGCCUAGCGGAGGAAUUGCUGGGUCAUACAUAGGGUAGGAGUAUUAUAACCUUAUAAGAAACUGUCAAAUGGUUUCCAAAAUGGUUUCACCCAUUUAUAUUCCCACAGACUUUAUUCAUAAUAACCAAUCCUGAGGGAAAAUCUAUAAUGUUCGUCAAAAGAAGGAAAUCCUGGCUGUGCCUAUAAUCACAGCAUUCUGGGAGGCCAAGGCAGGAGGAUCACUUGAGCCCGGGAGUUCAAGACCAGCCUGUGCAACAUAAAAAUGGUAACUCAUCAAACCUGCAGCAGAAGGCAACUUUUCAACUCUCAGUCAAUUUGAUCAACAUUCAGCAUCCAUCAAAUGAAGGAUUGGGAGUGAUAACCUUAAAAAAUCCUGCUAGGCUGCUGGUUAUUGAUUCUCUGUUCAGCCUGAUGGAUGAAGAUGCAAAGGCAACAAGUGAAAGUGCAAACCUGGCUGCCGGCCUCCUUCAUACCACGUUAGGUUAGGCAGGACUUGUGUCUGAAAAGCACCAUUGUUAGUUUUACCAAAAAUGCACUGCUGUCAUCACGACCAAUCAGAAUGUCACCCUAGCUGGAGAUCUGCUCCUCCUGGCCUUUCCUUGGGAUUUUCAGAAAAGCUCAGAAAACAAUUUACAAUAAAACUUAAUUACUUUUA
rnacentral:lncRNA from 1 species